rnacentral:lncRNA from 1 species
CGCACGGCGAGGUCCCCUGGGAACUUCGGUCCAGCCUCCCUGCGAACGACGCCGAUGGGACCCCCGUCCCGUCGGUCCCGCCCCCAGCCCAGCCCUCCCGGGUGGCUGCGGUCCUCCCGCUUCCUGGCGCGCCUUCAGGGCUGACGUCAGGGCGACGAGGACCGUCUCGGAAGAGCGCUUGCUCUACCAUCGGGUCCCUAGACAGAGCUCAGGAAGUGCCACUGGCUUGUACUUCAGGGUCAGGGCCAGGUUCAAGGACGAGUUCCGGGCACCAGCAUGUCUACUGUGCACGUUUCCCGGGAGCACCUGUCUAGGGGCGUCCGGUUCCAGUUUUUUCAGGGGCAUCAAUGACACUGAAAGCUUCUGCCCCUUUGGGGUCAGGGCUGGGAGGUGACGGCUGAAUCGGGAGGCGGGAGAGGCCCCGGGAGCCAAGGGGCGGUGGGAACAUCUCAGAGGGG